rnacentral:rRNA from 1 species
UACAGAGGUCUCAAGCGUUAAUCGGAAUCACUGGGCUUAAAGGGUGCGUAGGCGGACUCGCAAGUGCCUUGUGAAAUCCCGCGGCUCAACCGUGGAAUUGCUCGGUAGACUGCGGGUCUUGAGGUCGGUAGGGGCUGCCGGAACAGUAGGUGGAGCGGUGAAAUGCGUAGAUAUCUACUGGAACGCCCAAGGCGAAGGCAGGCAGCUGGGCCGAUUCUGACGCUGAGGCACGAAAGCGUGGGGAGCAAACGGG